CCCGCUCAGAAACUCAAAGGAAUUGACGGGGGCCCGCACAAGCGGAGGAGCAUGUGGUUUAAUUCGAUGAUACGCGAGGAACCUUACCUGGGCUCGAACGUAGGAUGACUGUAGGUGAAAGCUUACAUCUCUUCGGAGCAUUUUACGAGGUGCUGCAUGGUUGUCGUCAGCUCGUGCCGUGAGGUGUCGGGUUAAGUCCCAUAACGAGCGCAACCCUACCUUUAGUUGCCAUCAGGUAAUGCUGGGGACUCUAAAGGAACUGCCUACGCAAGUAGUGAGGAAGGCGGGGAUGACGUCAAAUCAGCACGGCCCUUACGUCCAGGGCUACACACGUGCUACAAUGGCCGAUACAGAGGGCAGCUACCUGGUGACAGGAUGCAAAUCUCCAAAGUCGGUCUCAGUUCGGAUCGGAGUCUGCAACCCGACUCCGUGAAGUUGGAUUCGCUAGUAAUCGCGCAUCAGCCAUGGCGCGGUGAAUACGUUCCCGGGCCUU
rnacentral:rRNA from 1 species